CCUACGGGUGGCAGCAGUCGAGAAUUUUUCUCAAUGGGGGAAACCCUGAAGGAGCGACGCCGCGUGGAGGAUGAAGGUCUUCGGAUUGUAAACUCCUGUCAUUGGUGAACAAGGUCCCAGGCAGUAACUGGCUUUGGGGAUUGAUAGUAGCCGAAGAGGAAGAGACGGCUAACUCUGUGCCAGCAGCCGCGGUAAUACAGAGGUCUCAAGCGUUGUUCGGAUUCAUUGGGCGUAAAGGGUGCGUAGGCGGCGGGGCAAGUCUGGUGUGAAAUCCCGGGGCUCAACUCCGGAACUGCACUGGAUACUGCCUUGCUAGAGUACUGGAGAGGGAACUGGAAUUUACGGUGUAGCAGUGAAAUGCGUAGAGAUCGUAAGGAAGACCAGUGGCGAAGGCGAGUUCCUGGACAGUGUACUGACGCUGAGGCACGAAGGCCAGGGGA
rnacentral:rRNA from 1 species